CCUACGGGUGGCAGCAGUGAGGAAUAUUGGUCAAUGGGCGGAAGCCUGAACCAGCCAAGUAGCGUGCAGGAUGACGGCCCUACGGGUUGUAAACUGCUUUUAUACGGGAAUAACGCGCCUUACGUGUAGGGCUUUGCAUGUACCGUAUGAAUAAGGACCGGAUAAUUCCGUGCCAGCAGCCGCGGUACUACGGAAGGUCCGGGCGUUAUCCGGAUUUAUUGGGUUUAACGGGAGCGUAGGCCGCAUGUCAAGCGUGCUGUGAAAUGUCCGGGCUCAACCCGGGCCUUGCAGCGGAAACUGGCGAACUUGAGGGCGCGUAAGGCAGGUGGAAUUCGAGGUGUAGGGGUGAAAUGCUUAGAUAUGAGGAAGAACCUCGAUUGCGAAGGCAGCUUUCUGCAGCGGAACUGACGCUGAUGCGCGAAAGCGCGGGUAUCGAACAGGAUUAGAUACCCCAGUAGUC
rnacentral:rRNA from 1 species